GACGAACGCUGGCGGCGUGCCUAAUACAUGCAAGUAGAACGCACAGUUUAUACCGUAGCUUGCUACACCAUAGACUGUGAGUUGCGAACGGGUGAGUAACGCGUAGGUAACCUGCCUGGUAGCGGGGGAUAACUAUUGGAAACGAUAGCUAAUACCGCAUAAUAUUGAUUAUUGCAUGAUAAUUGAUUGAAAGAUGCUAUUGCAUCACUACCAGAUGGACCUGCGUUGUAUUAGCUAGUAGGUGAGGUAACGGCUCACCUAGGCGACGAUACAUAGCCGACCUGAGAGGGUGCUCGGCCAAACUGGGAAUGAGACACGGCCCAGACUCCUACGGGAGGCAGCAGUAGGGAAUCUUCGGCAAUGGACGAAAGUCUGACCGAGCAACGCCGCGUGAGUGAAGAAGGUUUUCGGAUCGUAAAGCUCUGUUGUAAGAGAAGAACGGGUGUGAGAGUGGAAAGUUCACACUGUGACGGUAUCUUACCAGAAAGGGACGGCUAACUACGUG
rnacentral:rRNA from 1 species